GGCGACGUACCCAAGUGGUUAAGGGAAGGGUCUGCAAAACCCUCAUUCACCGGUUCGAAUCCGGUCGUCGCCUCCA
rnacentral:tRNA from 1 species